UAGGACACCAGAGGAGUAAGAGGUCUGGACCCUUUUCUCUGAAAGCAGAAGUUCCAGGCACCAGCCUGGGAAGCAACUCUAAUUACCUGCAGUAGGGUUCUGAGAGACAAGAGGUCCAAGACAGCAGAGAGUAAGCGGUCUCAGUUCUGGACACCACAGCUCUGGCCUGAGGCAAGCUUUGGCUUUAUCACCCCAUUCAAAGGCCACUGGGCUGAUAUCAGCUCCUCUGAACCUCCCCCCACCCCACCGCACCCCCGACUCUUCUCUGAGAAUCAGAAAGUUGGGCUUUAGAACCUCAAAUGUCUCCUCGGGAUUUCAAAUUCUCCAACUGAACCUGGGACAAGUCACUUCCCUGAAUGUCAAUCUCUUCCAAGGGAAACAGAAGAGCAGCUGAUGUUCUAGGGUGGGGCGUGGGCCCCACAGCAAGAAGACCUGAGUUCAGCUCAUCCUGUACCACCUACCAUCUCAGGAACUUGAGAAAACCAUUGUUUCUCUCAGCGUUUUGAGUCCACCUAUAUAGAGAAAAAGUGUGCUGUCUUGGUGGGGCCUCUAGGUGAAGGAAAUCAUCUGUCAUCUUUCUAGACUGGGUCUGGUAUGCAAUGUAAACUUCUAGUAAAUAAUGAACUUUGUACUUUU